UUUUUUUUUUUUUAAUUCUCCAGAUGAUUCUGGAGAGAUGGAUGAGAACCACUGCUCAGGCUGGGAUUUACGUUGACAGCCUACUGCAAAGCUAUUUCAGGUAAGAAAAUCAUCAGGAAAAUGAGUAUAAAGGUCCUAUGAUUAAGAAGAGCUAGCAUGUAUGACCAGAGGCAAAGGGUCAUAUUGAGAAAUUAAAUUAGAUUGGUGGUUCCCAAAGUCUCAGGAGGUUUCCACCCCAGGGUAACAAAAACAAGAACUCAUUUGUUUGUUAUGGAGUCUCCAUUUAAGCUCAGGAAGGCCAGCAUUACUCAUUCAGAUUGUAGUUACCUGUGUUUAUGACUGACUGACUUCUGUGAUUUGGGGGAAGACAGGGAGGCAGCGUAAGUUCUUUACUCCAGAAUAGCCCUUAUAUUCUCUUCUCCAACUUGAAUGAUGAAGAUAACUAAGGAUAUUAUGUUGCUAGUGAAGUACUCUGAAACAUGCUAAGAGUACUUAGGACAAUACUGUACUACCAGUGUUUUUAGUUUUGACACAUAAAAAUAAUUGAGUCAGACACAGUAUUCGUAUUAACUCAUGUAACCCUCCCAGCAUCCCUAGAGAUUGAUUCUUCUAUUAACCACAAACAUACGAAACUAAACCAUGGUUAAAAGAAUUUGACAGGGUCACUUAUUAAGUGGAGGAGGUGGGAUUCAAAGCCAGGCAGUGUGUUGUCUUCUAUCCCACUAUACUCACAGAUAAGUUGGAAGAGGACAGCAGGGAUAGGAGGUAUAACUUAAAGGUGGAAGUUUUAAACACCAAGCCAAGAAAUUUGAACUUGUGAAUGACAGAUGCAUAUGGGGUGAAGUGUGACAGAAAUAUUUUUCAGGCAUCUGUUUUUGGAUGGAUUGGAAGAGCAUCUGACACUACUGACUUCCUUGAAAUUCUCUUUACAUUGCCUUUCAGAACACCCUUUUCCGGUUCUCUUUCCUUCUCUCUGGGAUGCAGUUUUCAGGCUCUGAUGCACCUGCUGCCUCCUCCUCCAUCUCUUCCUCUUUUUCCUCCUCCACUUACCCUGGUGUUCUUCAGGGUUCUGAAUUACUCCUCUUCCACCCUUCUGGCUUCUCUAAGAGCUAUGAUUCUUAACAGGGCUGUGGAGGGUGUGGAGAGGGAAAUGUUGAAGUAUCUCAAGUAGAGAUGUACUUUUUAAAAUCCCCUCAGAUGACCAUGAUACACAUACCGCAUUCCAACACACUCACACAACAUAAGACUCACUGACAAAUACGCUGGUGACUCUUAAACCUUCGUGGACAGCCCACCUAUUUUCCGACCCCCUACUGAAUAAUUCAAACCUCACAUACAUAAAACGUAGCUCACUAUUCCCUGGUGCCUCUUUGACAUUCCCCUCCCUCCCCUACACUUAAUGGCAUCAGAUACCAUCUUCACCCAGUCUGACUGUGAGAAUCUUUUCUCACUCAACUUCCCAAAUCUAAUAUCAUACCAAAUCCAUUUGAUUCUUCCUCAGAGCCAGUCCUCCUCUUUCCCACUGCCACUGCCCUAAAUUUUCAUCCUCUCCCCUCUGAAUAAGAGCAGCCACCUUCCAAAUAGGUACCUUAUGUGAAUUCAACCUCUGCAACACUACUAAUUUCUUUCCCUCGGUAGAAGCUGCACAUGCCCCCCCCCCCCACCUUUGUAAACACCUUCCAAAGCUACCUGUUGCCUACAGGAUAAAUGUAGAAACAUCAUGGAGCUUAAAAGAAACAUAACACGUGCCCUAACCCACCUCUAUAACUUCCUCUCUCCAUUUCUUGCCUUCUUCUCCUCCCCUAAACCAUAAACUUCAAUGGCACUAAAUUCAUCCUUCCACGAGCUGACCGUAAGCUUUCAUGC
rnacentral:lncRNA from 1 species